AGCGAACGCUGGCGGCAGGCCUAACACAUGCAAGUCGAACGAAGUCUUCGGACUUAGUGGCGGACGGGUGAGUAACACGUGGGAACGUGCCUUUAGGUUCGGAAUAACUCAGGGAAAUUUGUGCUAAUACCGAAUGUGCCCUUCGGGGGAAGGAUUUAUCGCCUUUAGAGCGGCCCGCGUCUGAUUAGCUAGUUGGUGAGGUAAAGGCUCACCACGGCUACGAUCAGUAGCUGGUCUGAGAGGAUGACCAGCCACAUUGGGACUGAGACACGGCCCAAACUCCUACGGGAGGCAGCAGUGGGGAAUCUUGCGCAAUGGGCGAAAGCCUGACGCAGCCAUGCCGCGUGGAUGAUGAAGGUCUUAGGAUUGUAAAAUCCUUUCACCGGUGAAGAUAAUGACUGUAGCCGGAGAAGAAGCCCCGGCUAACUUCGUGCCAGCCGCCGCCGUAAUAC
rnacentral:rRNA from 1 species